rnacentral:rRNA from 1 species
GACGAACGCUGGCGGCGUGCUUAACACAUGCAAGUCGAACGGAAAGGCCCUGCUUUUGUGGGGUGCUCGAGUGGCGAACGGGUGAGUAACACGUGAGUAACCUGCCCUUGACUUUGGGAUAACUUCAGGAAACUGGGGCUAAUACCGGAUAGGAGCUCCUGCUGCAUGGUGGGGGUUGGAAAGUUUCGGCGGUUGGGGAUGGACUCGCGGCUUAUCAGCUUGUUGGUGGGGUAGUGGCUUACCAAGGCUUUGACGGGUAGCCGGCCUGAGAGGGUGACCGGCCACAUUGGGCCUGAGGUACGGCCCAGACUCCUACGGGGGGCAGCAGUGGGGAAUAUUGCACAAUGGGCGGAAGCCUGAUGCAGCGGCGCCGCGUGCGGGAUGACGGCCUUCGGGUUGUAAACCGCUUUCGCCUGUGACGAAGCGUGAGUGACGGUAAUGGGUAAAGAAGCACCGGCUAACUACGUG